UACGUAGGGGGCAAGCGUUGUCCGGAAUCAUUGGGCGUAAAGAGCGUGUAGGCGGUCCGGUAAGUCGGCUGUGAAAGUCCAGGGCUCAACCCUGGGAUGCCGGUCGAUACUGCCGGACUAGAGUUCGGAAGAGGCGAGUGGAAUUCCCGGUGUAGCGGUGAAAUGCGCAGAGUAUCAGGAGGAACACCGGUGGCGAAGGCGACCCCCUGGUUGGAUACUGACGCUGAGGUGCGAAAGCGUGGGGAGCAACAGG
rnacentral:rRNA from 1 species